GAUAGUUGGUGCAAAAGGUUGAUGCACUGGAACUCCAUCUCCAACAUGUGCCAAACAAAGGAUGACUGAUUGUCUGUGGGGAAGUUUCCAUGGAGCUGAAUCUGAUGUCAUGAAUAAGGGCAUUGUUUCCUCCUUUUUUUUCUUUUCCAAGUUCCCAAGCCCAUUUGCGACAUAUAUUUGGAAACAAAAAUGACUUCACCGGUUAAAUAUUGUUAGAUCCUAUAGAGUAUCAAAGUUGUGAAAUUCCAAAAGAAUCUACUUUGCCUCAGCAAUUUCUUCAUUGGAAUUUGGUGAAGAUGGAGUUAACUUCACAGUACAGUAGAAACUCUCCCCCAGCGCGUCUCAUUCAUCACCAUGAAACGGUUGAGAAGACUUCUUCAAUAAAGUCUGAAUAGCUUUACAAAGAGGGGCAAUACUGUACUGAAUAAAAACUGCUAACAUAACAAAGAUGUUCAGUACCAUUGCUAGGCACUUUGUUCUGCUUGAUUUUUAUGUGGUUACCUCAGUCCUGGACUACUGGAAUUCUGCUACACCUAUCUGGAAGCUUUCAGCUGCCAGAUCAAUCAAGCUGUCAAAACUGAAAAUCUUUCAGGCUGCUAGCUGUGCUCUAGUCUAACUAGUCUAACUGCAAGAUUGAGCAAACUAAUCUUCCAUGGCAAAUGCUCCCCCAUCAGUAGAG